GACGAACGCUGGCGGCGCGCUUAACACAUGCAAGUCGAGCGAGAACCAGGGCUUCGGCCCUGGGGACAGCGGCGAACGGGUGAGUAACACGUGGGUAAUCUGCCCUCGGCACCGGAAUAGCCCGGGGAAAUCCGGAUUAAUGCCGGAUGGCCCCUUCACCUCGCGAGGUGUCGGGAAAAGGUAGCUUCGGCCUCUGGCCGAGGAUGAGCCCGCGGCGGAUUAGCUUGUUGGCGGGGUAACGGCCCACCAAGGCGACGAUCCGUAGCUGGUCUGAGAGGACGAUCAGCCACACUGGGACUGAGACACGGCCCAGACUCCUACGGGAGGCAGCAGUGGGGAAUCUUGCGCAAUGGGCGAAAGCCUGACGCAGCGACGCCGCGUGAGGGAAGAAGGCCUUCGGGUAGUAAACCUCUUUCAGGAGGGACGAAGCUACUCGGGUGAAUAGCCCAGAGGGUGACGGUACCUCCAGAAGAAGCCCCGGCUAACUACGUGCCAGCAGCCGCGGUAAGAC
rnacentral:rRNA from 1 species